rnacentral:rRNA from 1 species
CCUACGGGUGGCAGCAGUGAGGAAUAUUGGUCAAUGGGCGCGAGCCUGAACCAGCCAAGUAGCGUGAAGGAUGACUGCCCUACGGGUUGUAAACUUCUUUUAUAAAGGAAUAAAGUGAGGCACGUGUGCCUUUUUGUAUGUACUUUAUGAAAAAGCAUCGGCUAACUCCGUGCCAGCAGCCGCGGUAAUACGGAGGAUCCGAGCGUUAUCCGGUUUUAUUGGGUUUAAAGGGUGCGUAGGCGGGUGGUCAAGUCAGUGGUAAAAUUUGGGGGCUCAACCUCAGCCUGCAAUUGAAUCUGGCUGUCUUGAGUACAAGAGAGGUAGGCGGAAUUCGUGGUGUAGCGGUGAAAUGCAUAGAUAUCACGAAGAACUCCGAUUGCGAAGGCAGCAUACCGGCUUCCCACUGACGUUGAUGCACGAAAGCGUGGGGAUCGAACAGGAUUAGAUACCCUUGUAGUC